rnacentral:rRNA from 1 species
UUUUAGAAAUUAAUUUAAAGUCUAACCUGCCCACUGAAAAUUUAAAUGGCCGCAGUAUUCUAACUGUGCAAAGGUAGCAUAAUCAUUAGUCUUUUAAUUGAAGGCUGGAAUGAAUGGUUGAAUGAAAUAUUAACUGUUUCAUAAAAAUUUAUAUUAUAAUUUUAUUUUUUAGUUAAAAAGCUAAAAUAUUAUUAAAAGACGAGAAGACCCUAUAAAUCUUUAUAUUUAAAUAAUUUUAAUUAUUUAGAUAAAUUAAAUUAUGAUUAUUUUAAAUAUUUUAUUGGGGUGAUAUUAAAAUUUAAUAAACUUUUAAUUUAAAUUUUACAUUAAUUAAUGAAUUAUUGAUCCAUUUAUUAUGAUUAAAAAAUUAAGUUACUUUAGGGAUAACAGCGUAAUUUUUUUAGAGAGUUCAUAUUGAUAAAAA